CCUACGGGAGGCAGCAGUGGGGAAUAUUGCACAAUGGGCGAAAGCCUGAUGCAGCGACGCCGCGUGAGGGAUGACGGCCUUCGGGUUGUAAACCUCUUUCAGCAGGGAAGAAGCGAGAGUGACGGUACCUGCAGAAGAAGCGCCGGCUAACUACGUGCCAGCAGCCGCGGUAAUACGUAGGGCGCAAGCGUUGUCCGGAAUUAUUGGGCGUAAAGAGCUCGUAGGCGGCUUGUUGCGUCGGUUGUGAAAGCCCGGGGCUUAACCCCGGGUCUGCAGUCGAUACGGGCAGGCUAGAGUGUGGUAGGGGAGAUCGGAAUUCCUGGUGUAGCGGUGAAAUGCGCAGAUAUCAGGAGGAACACCGGUGGCGAAGGCGGAUCUCUGGGCCAUUACUGACGCUGAGGAGCGAAAGCGUGGGGAGCGAACAGGAUUAGAUACCCUGGUAGUCCACGCCGUAAACGUUGGGAACUAGGUGUUGGCGACAUUCCACGUCGUCGGUGCCGCAGCUAACGCAUUAAGUUCCCGCCUGGGGNGUACGCCGCGAGACGAAACGUAACGAAGUAAGUAGUGUUGAGUGUUGACGACGCGACGACGACGGACGAGGAG
rnacentral:rRNA from 1 species